GCCGUGGUGGCGGAACUGGAAUACGCGUACGCCUCAGAAGCGUAUCCUGCAAGGGUUGAGGGUUCGAAUCCCUCCCACGGCA
rnacentral:tRNA from 1 species